rnacentral:rRNA from 1 species
GCGGCGAUGCUUACCUGCAGUCGAGCGGCCUGCGGGAUUCUUGCUGCUGUGGAGUGGCGAACGGAUGAGUGAUACUCGGAGCGUGCCCUGUCUGGGGGAAUGACUAAACUACAGAUUACCUAAUACCGCAUACGACCUGAGGUUGACCUUGGUGGACCGCGAGGGCUCGAGCUACAGGAGCGUCCGAUGCCUGAGUACCUAGGUGGCGUUAUAAAAGCCUACCAAGGCGACGAUCAGUAGCUGGCCUGAGAGGACGAUCAGCCACACUGGGACUGAGACACGUGCCCAGACUCCUACGGGAGGCACUCCUGGGGAAUUUUGGACAAUGGAAUCUUCCCUGAUCCAGCAAUGCCGCGUGUGUGAAGAAGGCCUUCGUGAUGUAAAGUUCUUUUGUCCGGAAAGAAAUGGCUCUGGUUAAUACCCGGGGUCGAUGACGCUACCGGAAUAAUAAGCACCGGCUAACUACGUGCCAGCAGCCGCGGGAAUACGUACGGGGCGAGAGUUAAUCGGAAUUACUGGUCGUAAAGUGUGGGCAGGCGAGUUUGUAAGACAGGCGUGAAAUCCCCGAUGUCAACUUGCGAAUGUCGCUUGUGACUGCAAGGUUAAAGCAUGUCAGAGGGAGGGAGAAUUCCACGUGUAGCAGUGCACUGCGUACAGAUGUGUAGGAAUACCGAUGGAGAAGGCACCCCCCUGAGACGUCACUGACGCUCAUGCACUGAAGCGUGGGGAGCAAACAGUAUUAGAUACCCUGGAAUACCUCGCCCUAAACGAUGCCAACUAGAUGAUGAGGAUUCAUUUCUUCAGUAACGUAGCUAACUCGUGAAGUUGAUCGCCUGUUGAGUACUCUCGCUGGAUAAAACUCAAAGGAACUGACGCUCACCCGCACUAGCGU